rnacentral:rRNA from 1 species
AGUGAACGCUGGCGGUAGGCCUAACACAUGCAAGUCGAACGGCAGCACAGUAAGAGCUUGCUCUUACGGGUGGCGAGUGGCGGACGGGUGAGGAAUACAUCGGAUUCUACUUUUUCGUGGGGGAUAACGUAGGGAAACUUACGCUAAUACCGCAUACGACCUACGGGUGAAAGCAGGGGAUCUUCGGACCUUGCGCGAUUGAAUGAGCCGAUGUCGGAUUAGCUAGUUGGCGGGGUAAAGGCCCACCAAGGCGACGAUCCGUGGCUGGUCUGAGAGGAUGAUCAGCCACACUGGAACUGAGACACGGUCCAGACUCCUACGGGAGGCAGCAGUGGGGAAUAUUGGACAAUGGGCGCAAGCCUGAUCCAGCCAUACCGCGUGGGUGAAGAAGGCCUUCGGGUUGUAAAGCCCUUUUGUUGGGAAAGAAAAGCAGCAGGUUAAUACCCCGCUGUUCUGACGGUACCCAGAGAAUAAGCACCGGCUAACUUCGUG